rnacentral:misc_RNA from 1 species
UCAAACUUGGUCAUUUAGAGGAAGUAAAAGUCGUAACAAGGUUUCCGUAGGUGAACCUGCGGAAGGAUCAUUACCAAGUUUUGGUUUUUCAACCAUAAACAGAUCCCACUUGUGUGCACUCAUUGGAGUCUUAUGGCUCCCAACCUCUUUUUUCCCUUUCUCUUUUGUUUGUCUGAUUCUUCAAAUCUAUAUUUGAUUUAAAAUACAACUUUCAACAACGGAUCUCUUGGCUCUCGCAUCGAUGAAGAACGCAGC